UAAAAGAUGCCGGCUUUUCUUUGCUUCGGAUUUCAAUAUUAAGCAGCAGCUCGAUGGACCCGUGAGGAAUGAGUCGUUUUUGUCACCGUAGCGGAGAGAAUGGAAACCCUCCUUUGCCGCUUCGGAGCCCGAUGCCGCCCUACGAUGAACCCCGACUCAGAUGCAGCUAACGCCGCUGCUGCUCUCCAGCCAGGGAACAGAAGAAGAUGAACAUGGCUGACAUGAUG